AGAGUUUGAUCCUGGCUCAGGACGAACGCUGGCGGCGUGCUUAACACAUGCAAGUCGAACGAUGAACCAGGAGCUUGCUCUUGGGGAUUAGUGGCGAACGGGUGAGUAACACGUGAGUAACCUGCCCUUGACUCUGGGAUAACCUCCGGAAACGGAAGCUAAUACCGGAUACGAACUGCGAAGGCAUCUUCAGCAGUUGGAAAGAACUUCGGUCAAGGAUGGACUCGCGGCCUAUCAGGUAGUUGGUGAGGUAACGGCUCACCAAGCCUACGACGGGUAGCCGGCCUGAGAGGGUGACCGGCCACACUGGGACUGAGACACGGCCCAGACUCCUACGGGAGGCAGCAGUGGGGAAUAUUGCACAAUGGGCGCAAGCCUGAUGCAGCAACGCCGCGUGAGGGAUGACGGCCUUCGGGUUGUAAACCUCUUUUAGUAGGGAAGAAGCGAAAGUGACGGUACCUGCAGAAAAAGCACCGGCUAACUACGUGCCAGUAGCCGCGGUAAUAC
rnacentral:rRNA from 1 species